GUGCUGCCUGGCGCUGGCUAGGAGGCAAACGCACGCGGGAAGAGCUGCUACCCAUUCCAGGGACCCUGCCGCUGCCCCUCUGAGGGGUCUGCACCUUCUGGGAGCAGGUGGGUCUCUGGGACGAGGGUCCAUGGUGGAUGGCUCUGGAGACGCUCCCAAGGCUGUGCCGUCCCCCUGCUGCACAGGUCGGAGGGUCACCGCAGAGGCUACUCGGGCUGGGGCUGGGGCCGAGGGAGCCCGCACUGGAGUCACUUAAUAUUACAGGGUCUCGCUCUGUUGCCCAGUGGCCUGAUCAUGGCUCACUGCAGCCUCCAACUACUGGCCUCAAGUGAUCCUCUUGCCUUGGCCUCCUGAAGUCCUGGAAUUAUAGGCGUGAGCCACUGCACCGGGCCCAUUUAAUACUCUGAGCCCCACCUUUCCCAUCUGUGGAUGGAGAUAAUGAUAAUAGCAUCUUUGGGGUGUGACUGUGAAGAUAGAUAGAUGAGCAUGCAAAGCUCCAAGUGCCUGCUGAAUUGUAAGUGAAAUAAGAACGUGUGCCGCUGAAGGCUGUCCCUGGAGGCAGGGACACUCUGGCCAGGCCUC
rnacentral:sRNA from 1 species